rnacentral:rRNA from 1 species
AUACGGAGGGUGCAAGCGUUGUUCGGAAUCACUGGGCGUAAAGGGCGCGCAGGCGGUUUGGUAAGUCAGAUGUGAAAGCCCAUGGCUCAACCAUGGAAGUGCAUUUGAAACUGUCAGACUUGAGUACUAGAGGGGAAAGUGGAAUUCCCGGUGUAGAGGUGAAAUUCGUAGAUAUCGGGAAGAAUACCGGUGGCGAAGGCGACUUUCUGGCUAGAUACUGACGCUGAGGCGCGAAAGCGUGGGGAGCAAACAGGAUUAGAAACCCUAGUAGUCC